rnacentral:lncRNA from 1 species
GGUAAAAAUUAUUGUAAGGGGUCACAGAAUAAGAAACAAGGAGGAGCAAAUCUGAGUGCAAAAACAAUCUUAAGCCAAUAAACAAGUGUGUAAAAGGUGAAACAAAAGGUCCUCUAUGAAUUGUCUGGAAACUCAAUUUGAAAUAGAAAAGAACAAAAAAAAAGAGGAAAGGUUGGCUGAAGUUCAUUUAGACUUUAAUCUUAAGAUAUGGUUGACUUUUUUUAUUAGAAUUAGGCUGUCAUUUUUAAAAACUAAAUAAUCUUAAAGACUACGUCUGAACUCAUCAAAAUCUUCCAUAUAGUCAAAUAAGGGCCGCGUGAAUCACAGGCCCAAACUCACAAAUUACGAUGUAAAUAAGGGCCGCGUGAAUCACAGGCCCACACUCACAAAUUACGAUGUAGGUUCUACAAUUUUGUAGACCUUAGAGCAGGGGCGUUCCAAGUGCAAUGAAAACCACUGACCUAGGCCAUGGACCUACAUGAUCGUCCAUUGACCCCAUCCAGGUAUGUAAGUCUUUCACCACCGCCCCUAGUUUCAAUCUUAUAAUCCCUAUUCCAAUUUCUUAUGCCCAACAUUUCCUGAUGUGGGACUCUUUUACUAUAGGAUACUUCAAAUAUUCCUUUGCUAAUCUUGUUGCACAAACCCAGUUGAAACACGACAGACACUGGAGAUUCUUGGUUUGCAAUGAAUCUAUGGAAAGUGUUUAUGCAUUUUCUCAAACUACGUGAGUUUGGAAAGCUAACUAGUGCAACAUCUAUUUUGCAUUGAACUUGCAAUAGUAACUCUCAUUUUACCCACAUCUCAACAGUUUCAAGACUAAACCUAGUCUUAGGCAAAACAUGUUUUUCCAGUUCUGAAAAGCAUUUCUGUAAUCAAAUCGUCAUUCAUUUUAAAGUAAAAAACCAAAUAUAAAGAGAUUAGGUGCUAACUUAAUAAUUACCAAACCACAAUUAAUAGUUACAUAUUCAAUAAAAAGGUCAAAACUGGAAGUGUGAACCUUUACGAAAUAUUUAAACCAGAGCUAAGAAAAUAUAUUGUUGUAAAAGUAGAAGAGGGCAACCUAGGAAAAGAAACAACAUAUACUAAAAAUAUAAUAGGUCUAGCUAAGAAAUAUCAUUUUACUAGAAUAGAAGAGGGCUGCGCGGACGCAAGCCCCCACUACCACAAAUUAUGAUGUAGACUCUGCUCAUAGAACAGAUCUUAGGAGAAUGCCCCUCCAAAGUGCAAUGGAGGUCAGUAUCCUAGGCGAUGGACCUUAUUGAUCGUCCAUACACCCCACCCAGGUAAGUGAGUAUAAAUGAGUACAAAGCUUAACUUUUAUAACUCUUCCUAUCCCUUAAAUUACCUCAACUUUUCAGUGUGGGACUAAUCUACUUCUAUUGCUCAUGCACAGGUAUGUGACAUUUUCAGGGAUAUCUAUUUCCCAGAUAUCGAUGGCAUGGCAUGUACUCUUACAGUAUAUGAAAACACUUCUAAAACACGAAUUAGAGAUUGCAACAAGGUAUAGCACGUAGUAAGAUCAAAUGCUAAAAACUUAAGAUUCAAUGUUAAACCUUUUUUUUUCAAUGGUCUUAGCUCUCAUUUUAAUUUUUAGCCCCCGGCCAAUCCUAACCCCUCUAGUGACUAUUAAAUUACAUCUUUAAUAUAUAUUGUUACUUUAAGUUCCAUCUUUGGCUUUUAGGUUUUAGGUUUUAGCUUUUAAUUCACAUGAACAUGCUUUUAACUUCUGUUUGCUUCCGAAAAGCAUUAGUAUUUAAGAUUCAGA